ACUACGGGAGGCAGCAGUGGGGGAUAUUGCACAAUGGGGGGAACCCUGAUGCAGCGACGCCGCGUGGGUGAAGAAGCGCCUCGGCGCGUAAAGCCCUGUCAGCAGGGAAGAAAAUGACGGUACCUGAAGAAGAAGCCCCGGCUAACUACGUGCCAGCAGCCGCGGUAAUACGUAGGGGGCAAGCGUUAUCCGGAUUUACUGGGUGUAAAGGGGGCGCAGACGGCGAUGCAAGCCAGGAGUGAAAGCCCGGGGCCCAACCCCGGGACGGCUCUUGGAACUGCGUGGCUGGAGUGCAGGAGGGGCAGGAGGAAUUCCUGGUGUAGCGGUGAAAUGCGUAGAUAUCAGGAGGAACACCGGUGGCGAAGGCGGCCUGCUGGACUGCAACUGACGUUGAGGCCCGAAAGCGUGGGGAGCAAACAGGAUUAGAUACCCUUGUAGUC
rnacentral:rRNA from 1 species